UAAGUAUGAAAAGGAAUGACUGAGUGUAGACUCCUGAUUGUGUUGUAAGAAAACCAACCUUGAAGAGCUGAGUAUUAA